rnacentral:tRNA from 1 species
AGAGGGCUGCUAAGCAGGUUACUCCGAUAUAGUAAAAUGUAAGAAAGAUUAUUUUUCCUCGGUA